GCAUUGUUUCUAGAUCUGAGUAUAUCAAUAUUAACUUGUUCAGAACUUAAAGAGAAAUCUUGAGUUUAUGGACUUCAGGGGGAGUAUGGUCACAAGGCUGAAACUUAAAGGAAUUGACGGAAGGGCACACCAGGAGUGGAGCCUGCGGCUUAAUUUGACUCAACACGGGAAAACUUACCAAGACCGAACAGUAGAAGGAAUGACAGAUUAAGAGUUCUUUCAUGAUUUAUUGGGUAGUGGUGCAUGGCCGUUCUUAGUUGGUGGAGUGAUUUGUCAGGUUAAUUCCGGUAACGAACGAGACUGAAACCUAUUAAUUAGUUUUCUGCCUAUAAGACAGAAAUGUUCGCAAGAACAGGUGCGUAAGUACCACUUCUUAAAGGGACACAUUUCAAUUGUCCUAUUUUAAUUGUAGUUAUCUAAUUUCGGUUAGACCUCUU
rnacentral:rRNA from 1 species